rnacentral:rRNA from 1 species
GACGAACGCUGGCGGCGUGCUUAACACAUGCAAGUCGAACGGAAAGGCCCUGCUUGCCGGGUACUCGAGUGGCGAACGGGUGAGUAACACGUGGGUGAUCUGCCCUGCACUUCGGGAUAAGCCUGGGAAACUGGGUCUAAUACCGGAUAGGAGCCAUUUUUAGUGUGAUGGUUGGAAAGUUUUUUCGGUGUAGGAUGAGCUCGCGGCCUAUCAGCUUGUUGGUGGGGUAAUGGCCUACCAAGGCGGCGACGGGUAGCCGGCCUGAGAGGGUGGACGGCCACAUUGGGACUGAGAGACGGCCCAGACUCCUACGGGAGGCAGCAGUGGGGAAUAUUGCACAAGGGGCGCAAGCCUGAUGCAGCGACGCCGCGGGGGGGAUGACGGCCUUCGGGUUGUAAACUCCUUUCGCUAGGGACGAAGCUUUUUGUGACGGUACCUAGAUAAGAAGCACCGGCUAACUACGUG